GUCUGAGCACUGCAGAUACAAGCUGUCAGAUCUCACGUUGGAAGCCAAGGUCAGUGGUCCCCAUUCCUUUCUGAACCACACACAUAUCAAGCUCACAGAUAAUUCCUGGCAUGCUGCAGGGCACAGCACACAGGGCAGGCGAGCCUCCUCCGACACUCCAGAGCCAGCAAGAGUCACUGUCUCUGCAAUCGUCCACUUUACAAUGUGCC